rnacentral:lncRNA from 1 species
GCCCGCCCGCUCCCGGUUCUCUGGGAGACACCGUCCGGCGACCGACACCGACACCGACACCAAGCAGAAGCCCAAAAGAAACAAACCCCUCGGCACCGGAGGAUGAGAAACCCCGCGCGCCCCAUAGCCCGGGGCCGGCCCCACACCCCCAGGGCACUGCCAGGGGAAGAUCGCGGCACCGGACGCCUGGCGAAGCAGCAGCAGCACGGCUCAGGGACAGCCCCGCGCCCCGGCUCCGGCGCUGACGUUACCCGCUCCCGGCGUCUGCGGCUUCUGGACCCAGGAACCGCAGCCGGGUAUCAGCGCUGUGGGGAGAAGAGUCGGGGGCUCAGUGGGGCGGGGGUGGCGGUGACACGGGGACACGGGGACGGCGCUACCUGCGCCGGGGGGGGAUGCGCACGGACGCAUGCACGGCUCGGCUGACUGCGUGGGACGGGGCCAUCCCAAAGAGACGCAGCGUGUGCCCCGCACGGGGACGCGAGCUCGAGUGAUCCCAAAUGCACAGGUCCUGCCUGGGGACGGGGACAGGUCCUGCUCGGGGAGAGGCCCCACUUGGGGACAGGUCCUGCUUGGGGACAGGUCCUGCAUGGGAAUGGGAACAGGUCCUGCCUGGGGACGGGGACAGGUCCUGCUUGAGGACAGGUCCUGCCUGGGGACUGGGACAGGUCCUGCUCGGGGAGAGGCCCCACUUGGGGAUGGGAACAGGUCCUGCUUGGGGACAGGUCCUGCUUGGGGAUGGGAUGGGGACAGGUCCUGCUCGGGGAUGGGUCCUGCUUGGGGAUGGGUCCUGCUUGGGGACGGGGACAGGUCCUGCUUGGGGAUGGGG